rnacentral:rRNA from 1 species
UACGUAGGGUGCGAGCGUUGUCCGGAAUUACUGGGCGUAAAGAGCUCGUAGGUGGUUUGUCGCGUUGUUCGUGAAAACCUGAGGCUUAACCUUGGGCGUGCGGGCGAUACGGGCAGACUGGAGUACUGCAGGGGAGACUGGAAUUCCCGGUGUAGCGGUGAAAUGCGCAGAUAUCGGGAGGAACACCGGUGGCGAAGGCGGUUCUCUGGGCCUGACCUGACGCUGAGGAGCGAAAGCCAGGGGAGCAAACGGG